rnacentral:rRNA from 1 species
AGAGUUUGAUCCUGGCUCAGAGUGAACGCUGGCGGCAGGCCUAAUACAUGCAAGUCGAACGGCAGCACAGCAGAGCUUGCUCUGUGGGUGGCGAGUGGCGGACGGGUGAGGAAUACAUGGGAAUCUGCCCAGUCGUGGGGAUAACGUAGGGAAACUUACGCUAAUACCGCAUGCGCCCUUCGGGGGAAAGCCGGGGACCUUCGGGCCUGGCGCGAUUGGAUGAGCCCAUGUCGGAUUAGCUAGUUGGCGGGGUAAUGGCCCACCAAGGCGACGAUCCGUAGCUGGUCUGAGAGGAUGAUCAGCCACACUGGAACUGAGACACGGUCCAGACUCCUACGGGAGGCAGCAGUAGGGAAUAUUGGACAAUGGGCGCAAGCCUGAUCCAGCCAUGCCGCGUGAGUGAAGAAGGCCCUCGGGUUGUAAAGCUCUUUUGUCCGGAAAGAAAAGCGCCGGGUUAAUACCCUGGUGUCCUGACGGUACCGGAAGAAUAAGCACCGGCUAACUUCGUG